AGAUUGAACGCUGGCGGCAUGCCUUACACAUGCAAGUCGAACGGCAGCACGGGGGCAACCCUGGUGGCGAGUGGCGAACGGGUGAGUAAUGCAUCGGAACGUGCCCAGUAGUGGGGGGAUAACUAGUCGAAAGAUUAGCUAAUACCGCAUACGACCUACGGGUGAAAGCGGGGGAUUCGCAAGAACCUCGCGCUAUCGGAGCGGCCGAUGUCUGAUUAGCUAGUUGGCGGGUAAAAGCCCACCAAGGCUUCGAUCAGUAGCUGGUCUGAGAGGACGACCAGCCACACUGGGACUGAGACACGGCCCAGACUCCUACGGGAGGCAGCAGUGGGGAAUUUUGGACAAUGGGCGCAAGCCUGAUCCAGCCAUGCCGCGUGCGGGAAGAAGGCCUUCGGUUGUAAACCGCUUUUGGCAGGAACGAACGGCGCGAGCAAAUAUCUCGCGUUAAUGACCGGUACCUGCAAGAAUAACGCAACCGGCUAACACGUGCCAGCACG
rnacentral:rRNA from 1 species